rnacentral:misc_RNA from 1 species
AGCUGGGCAGUGGAAGUUGGAAAUAACCAAAAAGUUUGUCCGAUGAGGGUUGAAAACUUAGGCAUGAAUGGUCAAAUGCUUGUCGAAAUCUUUGAAGACGGAAGCCAUUUCCUUGACAUAGCAGAAGCCAUCCGGAGCUUGGGUCUUACAAUUUUAAAAGGUCUGGCUGAGGCUUAUGGUGAGAGGACACGCAUGUGUUUUGUGGUUGAGGGGCAGAAUGAUAGAACCCUGCAUCGCAU